UGGGGAUUUUUCCGCAAUGGGCGAAAGCCUGACGGAGCAAUACCGCGUGAGGGAGGAAGGCUCUUGGGUUGUAAACCUCUUUUCUCAGGGAAGAAAAAAAUGACGGUACCUGAGGAAUAAGCAUCGGCUAACUCCGUGCCAGCAGCCGCGGUAAUACGGAGGAUGCAAGCGUUAUCCGGAAUGAUUGGGCGUAAAGCGUCCGCAGGUGGCUGUGUAAGUCUGCUGUUAAAGAGUCUGGCUCAACCAGAUAAAGGCAGUGGAAACUACACGGCUAGAGUGCGUUCGGGGCAGAGGGAAUUCCUGGUGUAGCGGUGAAAUGCGUAGAGAUCAGGAAGAACACCGGUGGCGAAAGCGCUCUGCUAGGCCGCAACUGACACUGAGGGACGAAAGCUAGGGGAGCGAAUGGGAUUAGAUACCCCAGUAGUCG
rnacentral:rRNA from 1 species